AUGUCCCAGUAGUGGUGGGAGGUGGGGCUAGGUGGAAAAGAAUGACUUCUUGCUCCUAAGCUCCUUCCUACCUCCCUAACCU
rnacentral:miRNA from 1 species